rnacentral:tRNA from 1 species
AUUUGGGUAGCUCUUAGAGUAUUAUUUUGAAGCAAUAAAGGUAGAUUACUUCUCCCAAAUA